rnacentral:rRNA from 1 species
GGGCAGCAGUGGGGAAUAUUGGGCAAUGGAGGAAACUCUGACCCAGCGACGCCGCGUGCGGGAUGAAGGCCUUCGGGUUGUAAACCGCUUUCAGUAGGGAAGAAGCGAAAGUGACGGUACCUACAGAAGAAGCACCGGCUAACUAUGUGCCAGCAGCCGCGGUAAUACAUAGGGUGCAAGCGUUGUCCGGAAUUAUUGGGCGUAAAGAGCUCGUAGGUGGUUCGUUACGUCGGAUGUGAAAAUCUGGGGCUCAACCCCAGACCUGCAUCCGAUACGGUCGAGCUAGAGUUUGGUAGGGGAGACUGGAAUUCCUGGUGUAGCGGUGGAAUGCGCAGAUAUCAGGAGGAACACCAAUGGCGAAGGCAGGUCUCUGGGCCAAUACUGACACUGAGGAGCGAAAGCGUGGGGAGCGAACAGGAUUAGAUACCCCUGUAGUC